CCAGAUAAACAGUUUCUUCACGUACAACUUUAACAACAAUAAUCAGAACGGUAUAUGUUUGUCAUGAGCUUUUAUUAGUUAUGUAUAAAAGGAGUUUUUCAUAUUCUCACCUUCAAAUGAUUCUUACUGAGAGGAAAAACUUUCACUGGAAAUACGUUUUCCAUGGAAACAAACGGAGAAUACAGAAGACAGAAAAUCAAGGAUUGCGGGGUUUACAUGAAAACGAAGAAAGCACUGGCAGGCCUUUUGGGCUUGUUUGGAUCCUUUGCUGCCUUUCCCGCUUUCUUCCCUCCCUUCGCUGGCUUCUUAUUCACGGAGAGCCUAUUGAUCAUGCAGAACAACUACUUCAGAAACCACAGAGAUAAAAAAAUAAAAAAUAAAGCGAACAUAAGUUUGCAUAGAUCUAAGAUCUGAGAGAUCGUGAUCCUCAAACUUUCUGUAGAAUAGAGGGUUGAAAGACGAAGAAAUCGGAAGGAAACAAAAUUGAGAUCUAAUAAAAGCUUACUUAGCGCUCUUAGUGUCUGACUUGGAUUUACCGCCCUUCAUGACAAAUCCUGGAACGAAAACAGCAGAUCAGCUAAGAAAACAGCAAAAAACGAUGAAAAUCGUGAAAAAUCGUGGGAAAUCAAUAGGAGGCAGUGGAGCUUACCUUGUUGGUGGGCUAGAGAUAGGGUUAGGGUUUGUAUGUGU
rnacentral:lncRNA from 1 species